rnacentral:rRNA from 1 species
AACGGCCGUACCAUGCUGAAUAUACCGGUUCUCGUUAGAUCACCGAAGUUAAGCAUCUUUGGGCGCGGGCAGUACUUGGGUGGGUGACCACCUGGGAACACUGCGUGCCGUU